rnacentral:rRNA from 1 species
GACGAACGCUGGCGGCGCGCCUAACACAUGCAAGUCGAACGAAGCUCUUCGGAGCUUAGUGGCGGACGGGUGAGUAACACGUGAGCAACCUGCCUCAUAGAGGGGGAUAACGUUUGGAAACGAACGCUAAUACCGCAUAACACCUUUGAAGGACAUCCUUCGGAGGUCAAAGGAGCAAUCCGCUAUGAGAUGGGCUCGCGUCCGAUUAGAUAGUUGGCGGGGUAACGGCCCACCAAGUCGACGAUCGGUAGCCGGACUGAGAGGUUGAUCGGCCACAUUGGGACUGAGACACGGCCCAGACUCCUACGGGAGGCAGCAGUGGGGGAUAUUGCACAAUGGGGGAAACCCUGAUGCAGCGACGCCGCGUGAGGGAAGAAGGUUUUCGGAUUGUAAACCUCUGUCUUCGGUGACGAAAAUGACGGUAACCGAGGAGGAAGCCACGGCUAACUACGUG